AAGGUGGGGAGUGACGUCAAGUCAUCAUGGCCCUUACCGGCCUGGGCGUACACACGUGCUACAAUGGUCGGUACAAAGGGUUGCCAAGCCGCGAGGUGGAGCUAAUCCCAUAAAACCGAUCGUAGUCCGGAUCGCAGUCUGCAACUCGACUGCGUGAAGUCGGAAUCGCUAGUAAUCGUGAAUCAGAAUGUCACGGUGAAUACGUUCCCGGGCCUU
rnacentral:rRNA from 1 species